ACGGGGAGCAGCAGGCGCGAAACCUCUGCAAUAGGCGAAAGCCUGACAGGGUUACUCUGAGUGAUGCCCGCUAAGGGUAUCUUUUGGCACCUCUAAAAAUGGUGCAGAAUAAGGGGUGGGCAAGUCUGGUGUCAGCCGCCGCGGUAAUACCAGCACCCCGAGUUGUCGGGACGAUUAUUGGGCCUAAAGCAUCCGUAGCCUGUUCUGCAAGUCCUCCGUUAAAUCCACCUGCUCAACGGAUGGGCUGCGGAGGAUACCGCAGAGCUAGGAGGCGGGAGAGGCAAACGGUACUCAGUGGGUAGGGGUAAAAUCCAUUGAUCUACUGAAGACCACCAGUGGCGAAGGCGGUUUGCCAGAACGCGCUCGACGGUGAGGGAUGAAAGCUGGGGGAGCAAACCGGAUUAGAUACCCGGGUAGUCCCAGCUGUAAACGAUGCAGACUCGGUGAUGGGUUGGCUUCGAGCCAACCCAGUGCCGCAGGGAAGCCGUUAAGUCUGCCGCCUGGGGAGUACGGUCGCAAGACUGACACUUCAAUUGAAUUGGUGGGGGAGCAC
rnacentral:rRNA from 1 species